rnacentral:tRNA from 1 species
CGCCGGGGAACGGCUCGGCGGCGGACGGGCCGUCGUAGGGCGCCGGGUGGCCGGCCGGUUCGGUGUCCGGCUCCGGUGC